AUCACCUGGAAUCUUGCUAAAAGGCAGAUUCUGGUUCAGUUGGUCCGGGAUGGGCCUGAGAGUCUGCAUUUCCAACAAGCUCACAAGUGAUGCAGU
rnacentral:pre_miRNA from 1 species